rnacentral:tRNA from 1 species
ACCGCGAUCGGGGCGGCGUUGGUGCGGCUGCCGGCCGCGAUGGUGAUCGGUGCGCUCGUCGUCGCGGUGUUCGGGGUGCUGCCGCGGUU